rnacentral:misc_RNA from 1 species
GAUGAAGAACGUAGCGAAAUGCGAUAAGCAAUGUGAAUUGCAGAAUUCAGUGAAUCAUCGAAUCUUUGAACGCACAUUGCGCCCGCGAGUAUUCUCGCGGGCAUGCCUGUCCGAGCGUCAUUUCAACCCUCAGGGCCCGCCUGCUUCGGCAGGCGCGGCGCUGGUGUUGGGGAUCGGCCUAACCGCCGUCCCCCAAAUACAGUGGCGGUCUCGCUGCAGCCUCCCCUGCGUAGUAGCAACACUCGCAUGCGGAGCGCGGCGCGGCCACGCCGUAAAACCCCCGACUUUCUGAACGUUGACCUCGGAUCAGGUAGGAAUACCCGCUGAACUUAAGCAUAUCAAUAAGCGGAGGA